rnacentral:rRNA from 1 species
CAAUAGCGUAUAUUAAAGUUGUUGCAGUUAAAAAGCUCGUAGUUGGAUUUCUGGUAGGAGUGACCGUGCCAGACUUGAUUGUCUGUGUAUUGUGUUGUCUCCAGCCAUCCUUGUGGAGAACUUUUCUUGCAUUAAUUUGUAGGGAUUGGGACCCGCAUCGUUUACUGUGAAAAAUUAGAGUGUUUAAAGCAGGCAAUCGCUUGAAUACAUUAGCAUGGAAUAAUAAGAUAGGACUUUGGUACUAUUUUGUUGGUUUGCAUACCAAAUUAAUGAUCAACAGGAACAGUUUGAGGAUAUUCGUAUGAACAUGUCAGAGGUGAAAUUCUUGGAUCUUGAUCAGACGAACUACUGCGAAAGCAUUUAUCAAGGAUGUUUUCAUUAA